GUUAAAGAUGAAGUCGCCAGAUGUAGACUCAGGUGACCUAGUGAUUGGAGAUCGCCAGAGCAAGCACAUCGUCAGAGAUGAAGGUGGUGCAGAUUAUGAAGGCGGCCGGCGAGACCACAGGGAAGGUGUAUGAGGGCACCCUAACUCGCCAGUUCCAGUAGAGAUCGCACUCCCAAGUUAGCUAUGUACUGAGCAGCACCAUGCAUAAAUAACUUAGCCAAAAAGAGAGUAAGAAGCAGCGCCCAAG
rnacentral:lncRNA from 1 species